rnacentral:tRNA from 1 species
GGGCGCUUAGCUCAGCUGGUAGAGCAGCUCGCUUACAACGAGCAGGUCGUCGGUUCGAGUCCGGCAGCGCCCA